AUCCUGGCUCAGAUUGAACGCUGGCGGCAGGCCUAACACAUGCAAGUCGAAUGGUAACAGGAAACAGCUUGCUGUUUCGCUGACGAGUGGCGGACGGGUGAGUAAUGUCUGGGAAACUGCCUGAUGGAGGGGGAUAACUACUGGAAACGGUAGCUAAUACCGCAUAACGUCGCAAGACCAAAGAGGGGGACCUUCGGGCCUCUUGCCAUCAGAUGUGCCCAGAUGGGAUUAGCUAGUAGGUGGGGUAACGGCUCACCUAGGCGACGAUCCCUAGCUGGUCUGAGAGGAUGACCAGCCACACUGGAACUGAGACACGGUCCAGACUCCUACGGGAGGCAGCAGUGGGGAAUAUUGCACAAUGGGCGCAAGCCUGAUGCAGCCAUGCCGCGUGUAUGAAGAAGGCCUUCGGGUUGUAAAGUACUUUCAGCGGGGAGGAAGGGAGUAAAGUUAAUACCUUUGCUCAUCGACGUUACCCGCAGAAGAAGCACCGGCUAACUCCGUG
rnacentral:rRNA from 1 species